CGGCAGAGGCACUGACAGUAUCAAACAAUUUAGAUGGUUACAAUUUUGUGGCUUCUCAGAGUUUCAAAAUCUAAGAGUUUGGGCUUUGUUUAAAUUGGAUGACUGACAGAAUAAAAUCAAAUUUCCAUAAAUUUAGAAUUAAUUAGAAAAAGAAAAGGAUGCCACUCAGGAAAGCACUUACAAGCAUUCGGAAGGGGAUGGAUAGGAAAAGAGAGCACCAGUAAGCAUUUCCUUCCUCCACUGAAAGCUUCUACAAUCUAGUGGAGAGAGAGUACAUCACAGCAGCAGCAGCUCACUGGAAAAGGAAAAACUACUAAAAACUCAUCAAGGACUAAAAGGACCACCCAGACCAAACUCCAGGAUGUAAAGCACAGCCCAGCUUGAGCACUGAGCUGAGCUGGGUGCCUGGGCAUGGAACAUGCUUGCAAGUGAGGCCAGUUCUAGAACUUCAG
rnacentral:lncRNA from 12 species